GACGAACGCUGGCGGCGUGCCUAACACAUGCAAGUCGAGCGGGAAUUCAUAGACUGAUUUCUUCGGAAUGAUGAUUAUGAAGGAGAGCGGCGGACGGGUGAGUAACGCGUGAGUAACCUGCCUUCAGGAGGGGGACAACACUUCGAAAGGGGUGCUAAUACCGCAUGAUAUACAUUUAAGGCAUCUUAGAUGUAUCAAAGAUUUUAUCGCCUGAAGAUGGACUCGCGUCUGAUUAGCUAGUUGGUGGGGUAAAGGCCUACCAAGGCGACGAUCAGUAGCCGAACUGAGAGGUUGAUCGGCCACAUUGGGACUGAGACACGGCCCAGACUCCUACGGGAGGCAGCAGUGAGGGAUAUUGCACAAUGGGCGCAAGCCUGAUGCAGCAACGCCGCGUGAGGGAUGACGGUUUUCGGAUUGUAAACCUCUGUCUUCAGUGAUGAUAAUGACAUUAGCUGAGGAGGAAGCCG
rnacentral:rRNA from 1 species